rnacentral:rRNA from 1 species
GACGAACUUUGGCGGCGUGCUUAACACAUGCAAGUCGAACGGAAAGGCCCUGCUUUUGUGGGGUGCUCGAGUGGCGAACGGGUGAGUAGCACGUGAGUAACCUGCCCUUGACUUUGGGAUAACUUCAGGAAACUGGGGCUAAUACCGGAUAGGAGCUCCUGCUGCAUGGUGGGGGUUGGAAAGUUUCGGCGGUUGGGGAUGGACUCGCGGCUUAUCAGCUUGUUGGUGGGGUAGUGGCUUACCAAGGCUUUGACGGGUAGCCGGCCUGAGAGGGUGACCGGCCACAUUGGGACUGAGAUACGGCCCAGACUCCUACGGGAGGCAGCAGUGGGGAAUAUUGCACAAUGGGCGGAAGCCUGAUGCAGCAACGCCGCGUGCGGGAUGACGGCCUUCGGGUUGUAAACCGCUUUCGCCUGUGACGAAGCGUGAGUGACGGUAAUGGGUAAAGAAGCACCGGCUAACUACGUGCCAGCAGCCGCGGUGAUACGUAGGGUGCGAGCGUUGUCCGGAUUUAUUGGGCGUAAAGGGCUCGUAGGUGGUUGAUCGCGUCGGAAGUGUAAUCUUGGGGCUUAACCCUGAGCGUGCUUUCGAUACGGGUUGACUUGAGGAAGGUAGGGGAGAAUGGAAUUCCUGGUGGAGCGGUGGAAUGCGCAGAUAUCAGGAGGAACACCAGUGGCGAAGGCGGUUCUCUGGGCCUUUCCUGACGCUGAGGAGCGAAAGCGUGGGGAGCGAACAGGCUUAGAUACCCUGGUAGUCCACGCUGUAAACGGUGGGUACUAGGUGUGGGGUCCAUUCCACGGGUUCCGUGCCGUAGCUAACGCUUUAAGUACCCCGCCUGGGGAGUACGGCCGCAAGGCUAAACCUCAAAGGAAUUGACGGGGCCCCGCACAAGCGGCGGAGCAUGCGGAUUAAUUCGAUGCAACGCGUAGAACCUUACCUGGGUUUGACAUGGAUCGGGAGUGCUCAGAGAUGGGUGUGCCUCUUUUGGGGUCGGUUCACAGGUGGUGCAUGGCUGUCGUCAGCUCGUGUCGUGAGAUGUUGGGUUAAGUCCCGCAACGAGCGCAACCCUUGUUCACUGUUGCCAGCACGUUAUGGUGGGGACUCAGUGGAGACCGCCGGGGUCAACUCGGAGGAAGGUGGGGAUGACGUCAAGUCAUCAUGCCCCUUAUGUCCAGGGCUUCACGCAUGCUACAAUGGCUGGUACAGAGAGUGGCGAGCCUGUGAGGGUGAGCGAAUCUCGGAAAGCCGGUCUCAGUUCGGAUUGGGGUCUGCAACUCGACCUCAUGAAGUCGGAGUCGCUAGUAAUCGCAGAUCAGCAACGCUGCGGUGAAUACGUUCCCGGGGCU